rnacentral:rRNA from 1 species
UACGAAGGGUGCUAGCGUUGUUCGGAAUCACUGGGCGUAAAGCGCGCGUAGGCGGCUUUUUAAGUCAGGGGUGAAAUGCCACGGCUCAACCGUGGAACUGCCUUUGAAACUGAGAGCUAGAGUGUUGGAGGGGAUGGCGGAAUUGCUAAUGUAGAGGUGAAAUUCGUAGAUAUUAGCAGGAACACCGGUGGCGAAGGCGGCCAUCUGGACAACAACUGACGCUGAGGCGCGAAAGCGUGGGGAGCAAACAGG